GAGAACACAACGAAACAGAGAGAGGACACGGAGGAAAAGUAGAAGGAUUUGGGCUGGCACCUUCUUUGGAUCUUCGGAUCGAAAUCUUUGAAAGGUCAGCUUGUCACUCUUCGAGAUGUUUGAUUUGGGCUGAGGCAGUGGAUAGCUAUUCAGAAUAAUGGGCAAGUCUGGUUGGUUAUUACGAUAUUGUUGUAUAAGUAUGUCUUGUAUGUAAUGAAAUGUUGUCGAUGAACCGAAAUGGAUAUACUGUGUCAAAGUGUUAGGAGAUCUCUCUUAUUUGGAAUUUCAGAAUGUUAAGUCUAAUUUAUGGUGAUAUGAACUUGUGGUGAA